GACACUAUAGCCAAGUGGUUAAGGCGACAGAUUAGAAUUUGCACAGCGAUAGUCGAUUUAUCUGUUUCUCUUUGAGAGCGUAGGUUCGAACCCUACUGGUGUCG